UACGUAGAAGACUAGUGUUAUUCAUCUUUAAUAGGUUUAAAGGGUACCUAGACGGUAUAAUUAGUCUUAAACAGGAUACGAUUAUACUAGAGUUAUAUAUGAGAAGGCGAGUAUUUAUGGAGUAGAGUUGAAAUUCAUUGAUACCAUAACGACUGGUAACGGCGAAAAGCAACCUUUUAUCUAAUAACUGACGUUGAGGGACGAAGGCUCGGGUCACCGAAGCAGG
rnacentral:rRNA from 1 species